CAAACGGCCCUUUUGAGGGCCAUAGCCACUGCUACGCAAAUAACGU
rfam:Macrostomum lignano uti_cns_0001465, whole genome shotgun sequence.